UAGGGAAUCUUCGGCAAUGGGGGGAACCCUGACCGAGCAACGCCGCGUGAGUGAAGAAGGUUUUCGGAUCGUAAAGCUCUGUUGUUAAGGAAGAACGAGUGUGAGAAUGGAAAGUUCAUGCUGUGACGGUACUUAACCAGAAAGGGACGGCUAACUACGUGCCAGCAGCCGCGGUAAUACGUAGGUCCCGAGCGUUGUCCGGAUUUAUUGGGCGUAAAGCGAGCGCAGGCGGUUAGAAAAGUCUGAAGUGAAAGGCAGUGGCUCAACCAUUGUAGGCUUUGGAAACUGUUUAGCUUGAGUGCUGGAGAGGAUAGUGGAAUUCCUAGUGUAGCGGUAAAAUGCGUAGAUAUUAGGAGGAACACCGGUGGCGAAGGCGGCUAUCUGGACAGUAACUGACGCUGAGGCGCGAAAGCGUGGGGAGCAAACAGG
rnacentral:rRNA from 1 species